rnacentral:rRNA from 2 species
GGACUACUAGGGUUUCUAAUCCUGUUUGAUCCCCACGCUUUCGUGCCUCAGUGUCAAUGACCGUGUAGUGAGCUGCCUUCGCAAUUGGUGUUCUAUGUCAUAUCUAAGCAUUUCACCGCUACAUGACAUAUUCCGCUCACCUCCAAGGUAUUCAAGAAAGAUAGUAUCAAUGGCAGUUCCCAAGUUAAGCUCGGGGAUUUCACCACUGACUUACCUUCCCACCUACGCACCCUUUAAACCCAGUGAAUCCGGAUAACGCUUGCACCCUCCGUAUUACCGCGGCGGCUGGCAC